UUCCAGACUCCUACGGGAGGCAGCAGUGAGGAAUAUUGGUCAAUGGGCGGAAGCCUGAACCAGCCAAGUCGCGUGAGGGAAUAAGGCCCUACGGGUCGUAAACCUCUUUUGCCGGGGAGCAAGGGCGGGGACGUGUCCCGGCCCGGAGAGUACCCGGAGAAAAAGCAUCGGCUAACUCCGUGCCAGCAGCCGCGGUAAUACGGAGGAUGCGAGCGUUAUCCGGAUUUAUUGGGUUUAAAGGGUGCGUAGAUGGGUUGUUAAGUCAGUUGUGAAAGUUUGCGGCUCAACCGUAAAAUUGCAAUUGAUACUGGCAGCCUUGAGUACAGUUGAGGUAGGCGGAAUUCGUGGUGUAGCGGUGAAAUGCUUAGAUAUCACGAAGAACUCCGAUUGCGAAGGCAGCUUACUAAACUGCCACUGACAUUGAUGCUCGAAAGUGUGGGUAUCAAACAGGAUUAGAUACCCGAGUAA
rnacentral:rRNA from 1 species